GACGAACCGUGCAAACGUUGUUCGGAAUCACUGGGCUUAAAGGGCGCGUAGGCGGCCACCGCAAGUCGGUUGUGAAAUCUCUGGGCUUAACCCAGAAAGGUCAACCGAUACUGCGGGGCUAGAGUGCAGAAGGGGCAACUGGAAUUCUCGGUGUAGCGGUGAAAUGCGUAGAUAUCGAGAGGAACACCUGCGGCGAAGGCGGGUUGCUGGGCUGACACUGACGCUGAAGCGCGAAAGCUAGGGGAGCGAACGGG
rnacentral:rRNA from 1 species